CUUGGUCAUUUAGAGGAAGUAAAAGUCGUAACAAGGUCUCCGUUGGUGAACCAGCGGAGGGAUCAUUACAGAGUUGCAAAACUCCCUAAACCAUUGUGAACGUUACCUUCAAACCGUUGCUUCGGCGGGCGGCCCGGGUCCGCCCGGUGCCCCCUGGCCCCCUUGCGGGGCGCCCGCCGGAGGAAAACCCAACUCUUGAUUAUUAUGGCCUCUCUGAGUCUUCUGUACUGAAUAAGUCAAAACUUUCAACAACGGAUCUCUUGGUUCUGGCAUCGAUGAAGAACGCAGCGAAAUGCGAUAAGUAAUGUGAAUUGCAGAAUUCAGUGAAUCAUCGAAUCUUUGAACGCACAUUGCGCCCGCCAGUAUUCUGGCGGGCAUGCCUGUUCGAGCGUCAUUUCAACCAUCAAGCCCCAGGCUUGUGUUGGGGACCUGCGGCUGCCGCAGGCCCUGAAAACCAGUGGCGGGCUCGCUGUCACACCGGGCGUAGUAGAUUUUAUCUCGCUCUGGGCGUGCUGCGGGUUCCGGCCGUUAAAAAACCUUUUUUACCCAAGGUUGACCUCGGAUCAGGUAGGAAUACCCGCUGAACUUAAGCAUAUCAAUAAGCGGAGGA
rnacentral:rRNA from 2 species